GUUAGUACAACACCGUCCACUACAGAUAAUCCAACAUCGUCCACUACAGUUGGUUCAACAACACCGACUACACCAGGUACAUAUAGUAUUAUAGUAUUAUAGUAUUGGUAUAUUGUUUAUUUUACUUUUUAUGUGUAAUUUUUGGCGAGUUCCAAACUAUCUUUGCAUUUUGCAAAAUGUAUUUUUUCUGCAGAAGAGUUUCAUUCAAAGUGGCCUUAAAAUUAGAAAUAUUGAAAUUAUGAGAUUAAUCAGAAAUUUUACACCACAUUGAAACUGGUUUGCGCACAAAAAUUGAAGUUUAAGAAACAAUUUGAAUGCAG